UCAUUCUGUUGUGCUCAAUAGCCGGAAAUGAGGGCAGACAGGACGGAGAACUACCGAGGCGAAACACCUGUGGAAUACUCUCAGGAGGAACAGUCAUUGCUGUGUGAGGGUUCAAAUUCAGCUGUUAGCAUGGAACUUUCAGAACCUGUUGUAGAAAAUGGAGAAACGGAAAUGUCCCCAGAAGAAUCAUGGGAGCACAAAGAAGAAAUAAGUGAAGCAGAGCGAGGGGGUGGUUCCUUGGGAGAUGGAAGACCACCAGAGGAAAGUGCCCAAGAAAUGAUGGAGGAGAAAGAGGAGAUACCAAAUCCUAAAUCUGUGGUUGCACCUACAGGUGCUCCUCAAAAGGAGCAUGUAAAUGUAGUGUUCAUUGGCCAUGUGGAUGCUGGCAAGUCAACCAUUGAAGGACAAAUCAUGUAUUUGACUGGAAUGGCUGACAGAAGGACACUUGAGAAGUAUGAAAGAGAAGCUAAAGAAAAAAAACAGAGAAACUUGGUACUUGUUUUGGGCCUUAGACACAAAUCAGGAAGAAUGAGACAAGGGUAAAACAGUAGAAGUGGGUCGUGCCUAUUUUGAAACUGAAAAGAAGCAUUUCAUAAUUCUGGAUGCCCCUGGACACAAGAGUUUUGUCCCAAAUUUGAUUGGUGGUACCUCCCAAGCUGAUUUGGCUGUGCUGGUCAUUUCAGCCAGGAAAGGGGAAUUCAAAACUGGGUUUGAAAAAGGAGGACAGACAAGAGAACAUGCAAUGUUGGCAAAGACAGCAGGUGUAAAACACUUAAUUGUGCUUAUUAAUAAGAUGGAUGACCCAACAGUAAAUUGGAGUAAUGAGAGGUAUGAAGAACGUAAAGAGAAACUAGUGCCAUUUUUUUAAAAAGUGGGCUUCCUUCCCAAAAAGGACAUUCAUUUUAUGCCCUGCUCAGGACUGACUGGAGCGAAUCUCAAAGAGCAAUCAGAUUUCUGUCCUUGGUACAUUGGAUUACCAUUUAUUCCAUAUCUGGAUAAUUUGCCAAACUUCAAUAGAUCAGUUGAUGGACCAAUCAGGCUGCCAAUUGUGGAUAAGUACAAGGAUAUGGGCACUGUGGUCCUGGGGAGGCUGGAGUCAGGAUCUAUUUGUAAAGACCAGCAGCUUGUGAUGAUGCCAAACAAGCACAAUGUGGAAGUUCUUGAAUACUUUCCGAUGAUGUAUAACCUGAUACUGUAGCCCCAGGUGAAAACCUCAAAAUUAGACUGAAAGGCAUUGAAGAAGAGGAGAUUCUUCCAGGAUUCAUACUUUGUGAUCCUAAUAAUCUUUGUCAUUCUGGACACACAUUUGAUGCCCAGAUAGUGAUUAUAGAGCACAAAUCCAUCAUCUGCCCAGGGUAUAAUGUGGUGCUGCACAUUCACACCUGUAUUGAGGAAGUCGAAAUAACAGCCUUAAUCUGCUUGGUGGACCAAAAAAUCAGGAGAAAAAAGUAAGACUCGACCCUGUUUUAUGAAACAAGAUCAAGUGUGCAUUGCUCACUUAAGGACAGCAGGAACCAUCUGCCUUGAGACCUUCAAAGACUUCCCUCAGAUGGGUCGUUUUACCUUAAGAGAUGAGGGUAAAACCAUUGCAAUUGGAAAAGUUCUGAAACUGGUUCCAGAGAAAGACUAAGCAUUUCCUUUGAUGACCCUGCACAAUACUGUGAGGAGUACUGACCGCAAAAGCCUACUUCACACCACCUUCUCUUAUUUUCUGCCCAUUGAUAAACCUCUCCCCAUAUUUUGCAAAGAGAAAAUUCACAGCAAAAGUCCACAUUAUGUCAGCUUUCUCAUAUUGAGAGCUCUGCUAUGCCACUGUUGAAUUUUUUCCAAGAUUCUCUCACCCCUUUCAAACUCUGCUUCCUUGGACAGAUUUGGCAAUAGCUUUGUAAGUGAUGUGGACAUAAUUGCCUAUAAUAAUGAAAACCUACAGGGAUUUUUUUAUUUUUCAUGUUCCCCUUAGGCACAUUUAGUAUUUUUCCCCAGGCAGAUCAUUUUGAGUGUGCGUGUGUGUGUGCACAUGUUACAAAGACAUCUACCAUGUUAAUAAAAUAAUCAAUUUGAAAAA